CACAUGAAGACUUAGCUCCCUCUCUGCUCCUGCUAAGUCUAAGGAAUGCAAAUUUUGCCUUUGCAAAAAUUAACAUCAUGCUCCUAGCAAGAAAGCAGGUGACAAGCUCAGCAGCUCUGCUUCAGUUUGUUUUUCUCCAUGGCAGGAACAUGUGCCCCUGAGUGGGCACUGUUAGUGGAAUCGGUAGGAACGCAAAUGCAAAGGCAGGGAGAUAAAGGUGAGUCAGGAAGGAGAAAGCGGCACUUGGGGGCAGAACAGAACACCAAAAAAGCCAGGUGAUGGAAACAAGGCAAACCAUCAUUAGCCCAAGUUAACAGAAGCAAGUUGACUCAUGCAGCCGUGGGAAAAGCUAAGGUUGCUUGCAUGGACAUGGUGAGUCAUCUAAUGUGUAAGUCAAGCUACCAGCUAUAAUUAAUCUUGUACGUGGACACAAAGUCGAGUAUUUUGAACAUGAGCUAAUGAGAUUGACCUGUAGGAUCAUGCAGCUCUAACAGCUGAGUAGGCAAAUCAAGGAUAAAGGAAAAAGCUGGGGGUGCCCUUGGGCAGUCCCUUUCUUUGUGGCCUGUGCAUUUGCCUGUGUGGUGCUCUCUGUGGGAUGCAGGCUGAGCUGGAUGAAAUUUGCCCCACCCACGCUGCCCUCAAGUUGCUCCUUAUUUAUAGUACUAUUCCAGGAGGAUGUCUUCUGCAGUACAAGUACGAGACACAGUCUUGCUAUGUUGCCCAGGCUGGUCUUAAACUCCUGGUUUCAAGUGAAUCCCCCGCAUCAGCUUCCCAAAAUGCUGGGAUUACAGGUAAGAGUCACCACACCCAGCCAGUCAUGAUUAAAUUUAUACUUUUAAAUGUUUUUAAGUGAUAUAUAAAUUGAUGGUGUGUUAGAUUCAGGAGGAAACUGAGGCAGAGAUAUGAAAACCGACACACAGGUAGACUGAAUAACUUGCCUAAGUUCACACAGUUAGAAAGUGAUAGAAUGAGAGUUUGAAUCCAUGCUGUUUCUAGAGUUGACUUUCUUCCAAGGUGCUAAACUUCCUGGUCCCUCCACUUACUAGCUGUGUGAUCUUGGGCAAAUUCCUAACUUCCCUGUGCCUCUGGGGUUUUUUCACCUGUGAAUUGGUGGUAAUAAUAAUAGUAACUGCUGGCCAGGUGCGGUGGCUCACACCUGUAAUCCCAGCACUUUGGGAGGCUGAGGCAGGCAGAUAACCUGAGGUCUGGAGUUCAAGACCAGCCUGGCCAACAUGGUGAAACCCCAUCUCUACUAAAAAUAAAAAACAUUAGCCAGGCA
rnacentral:lncRNA from 13 species